AUUGAACGCUGGCGGCAUGCCUUACACAUGCAAGUCGAACGGCAGCACGGGUGCUUGCACCUGGUGGCGAGUGGCGAACGGGUGAGUAAUACAUCGGAACGUACCUUAUCGUGGGGGAUAACGCAGCGAAAGCUGUGCUAAUACCGCAUACGCCCUGAGGGGGAAAGCGGGGGAUCGAAAGACCUCGCGCGAUUAGAGCGGCCGAUGCCUGAUUAGCUUGUUGGUGGGGUAAAGGCUCACCAAGCCGACGAUCUGUAGCUGGUCUGAGAGGGCGACCAGCCACACUGGGACUGAGACACGGCCCAGACUCCUACGGGAGGCAGCAGUGGGGAAUUUUGGACAAUGGGCGAAAGCCUGAUUCAGCAAUGCCGCGUGCAGGAUGAAGGCCUUCGGGUUGUAAACUGCUUUUGUACGGAACGAAACGGCGAACUCUAAUACAGUUUGCUAAUGACGGUACCGUAAGAAUAAGCACCGGCUAACUACGUGCCAGCAGCCGCGGUAA
rnacentral:rRNA from 1 species